UCAGUAGUGAAACGACGCAUCGCCGAUGGUAGUGUGGGGCUUCCCCAUGUGAGAGUAGGUCAUCGUCAAGC
rnacentral:rRNA from 1 species